GAUUGCUCCGGUGGCCUUACUGGUUAGAGCGUCUGCCUCGGAUGAGGGAGGUCGUGAGUUAAAACCCCAUUUGAAUCA